rnacentral:rRNA from 1 species
UACGUAGGGUGCGAGCGUUGUCCGGAAUUACUGGGCGUAAAGAGCUCGUAGGCGGUUCGGCAAGUCACGUGUGAAAUCUCCACGCUUAACGUGGAGGCGCCACGUGAAACUGCCGUGACUCGAGUCCGGUAGGGGAGUGUGGAAUUCCCGGUGUAGCGGUGAAAUGCGCAGAUAUCGGGAGGAACACCCGUGGCUAAGGCGGCUCUCUAGUACGGUACUGACGCUGAGACGCGAAAGCGUGGGGAGCGAACAGG